rnacentral:rRNA from 1 species
UACGGAGGAUCCGAGCGUUAUCCGGAAUCAUUGGGUUUAAAGGGUCCGUAGGCGGGUUAGUAAGUCAGUGGUGAAAUCCGGCAGCUUAACUGUCGAAUUACCGUUGAUACUGCUAAUCUUGAAUUACUGUGAAGUGGUUAGAAUAUGUAGUGUAGCGGUGAAAUGCUUAGAUAUUACAUGGAAUACCAAUUGCGAAGGCAGAUCACUAACAGUAUAUUGACGCUGAUGGACGAAAGCGUGGGGAGCAAACAGGAUUAGAUACCCGUGUA